GCGCCUGUAGCUCAGUGGAUUAGAGCGCAUCCCUGCGGAGGAUGAGGCCACGCGUUCGAAUCGCGUCAGGCGCGCCA
rnacentral:tRNA from 1 species